ensembl:snRNA U6 U6 spliceosomal RNA
GGGCUCGCUUCGGCAGCACAUACAUAAAAACUGGAAUGAUACAGAGAUUAGCAUGGCCCCUGUGCAAGGAUGACACACAA